rnacentral:sRNA from 1 species
AUAUAUUAUAGACAGAUAUAAUUUGCAAAAAAAAAGUUAUACUAACUUUAAAAAGAUAAAUUGUCACCGCGGUGUACCGCGGGUUAAAAUCUAGUUAAACUACAAUUUUGAAAUGAUUUUUU